GAUGAACGCUAGCGAUAGGCCUAACACAUGCAAGUCGAGGGGCAGCAUAGAGUAGCAAUACUUUGAUGGCGACCGGCGCACGGGUGAGUAACACGUAUGCAACCUACCUACAUCAGGGGAAUAACCCGGAGAAAUUCGGACUAAUACCGCAUAAUACAGGGAUGCCGCAUGGCAAUAUUUGUUAAAGAUUUAUCGGAUGUAGAUGGGCAUGCGUUCCAUUAGCUAGUUGGUGAGGUAACGGCUCACCAAGGCAACGAUGGAUAGGGGAACUGAGAGGUUUGUCCCCCACACUGGAACUGAGACACGGACCAGACUCCUACGGGAGGCAGCAGUGAGGAAUAUUGGUCAAUGGACGAGAGUCUGAACCAGCCAAAUCGCGUGAAGGAAGACUGCCCUACGGGUUGUAAACUUCUUUUGUACAGGAAUAAAAGACAUUACGUGUAAUGUAUUGCAUGUACUGUACGAAUAAGCAUCGGCUAACUCCGUGCCAGCAGCCGCGGUAAUACGGAGGAUGCGAGCGUUAUCCGGAUUUAUUGGGUUUAAAGGGUGCGCAGGCGGGAUUUUAAGUCAGCGGUGAAAUUUUCAGGCUCAACCUGAACACUGCCGUUGAAACUGGGAUUCUUGAGUAUGGAUGAAGUAGGCGGAAUUCGUUGUGUAGCGGUGACAUGCUUAGAUAUAACGAGGAACUCCGAUUGCGUAGGCAGCUUACUAAGCCAUAACUGACGCUCAAGCACGAAAGCGUGGGGAUCAAACAGGAUUAGAUACCCUGGUAGUCCACGCCGUAAACGAUGAUUACUAGUUGUUUGCGAUAUACCGUAAGUGACUAAGCGAAAGCGAUAAGUAAUCCACCUGGGGAGUACGCCGGCAACGGUGA
rnacentral:rRNA from 1 species